rnacentral:rRNA from 1 species
GUAGGGAAUAUUGGGCAAUGGAGGCAACUCUGACCCAGCCAUGCCGCGUGCAGGAAGAAGGCGCUACGCGUUGUAAACUGCUUUUAACCGGGAAGAAACCCCAGGACGUGUCCUGGGUUGACGGUACCGGAGGAAUAAGCACCGGCUAACUUCGUGCCAGCAGCCGCGGUAAUACGAAGGGUGCAAGCGUUAUCCGGAUUCAUUGGGUUUAAAGGGUGCGUAGGCGGAGCGUUAAGUCAGUGGUGAAAUCCUGCAGCUUAACUGUAGACUUGCCAUUGAUACUGGCGCUCUUGAGUGCGCUUGAAGUGGGCGGAAUGUGCCGUGUAGCGGUGAAAUGCUUAGAUAUGGCACAGAACACCAAUUGCGAAGGCAGCUCACUAAGGCGAUACUGACGCUGAGGCACGAAAGCGUGGGGAUCGAACAGGAUUAGAUACCCCUGUAGUCC